rnacentral:rRNA from 1 species
GGCACGAAGGCAUAUCGUGCAUGCAACCCCUCUAACAAUAAGGUGGUUGUAACGCGUGACGUGGUCUUUGAAGAAGCAAGGUCAUGGAAUUGGAACUCCACCGAGCCGGUACACCCGAUCUCUGAUGAAAUCUUUCACGUUUUUUACAACGAUUCUGAGCGUGCAGAUAAUAUUGAUCAACCGGACACUUCGGCGGCACGGAGCGAUGCUCGAGACGACGACGCGCGGCGAGACGCGUCAGGGAGUUCACCUGUAUCUGGUGGCGUCCCAGGAAGAGACGCUGCGAGCGGCGCUACAGGCAGCAACAGCAGUGGAGAGAGAGCCACGUAUCCUGCACCCGGCAGCCCAGCCAGGUGCGCUGGAGGCAGCAGCGGCCCAGCACCAGGCUCUCCACCAGGGAGUUCUUCCCACGAGCCAGAAAGCCCAGCCGCUACACAAUCUCCACAAGGCCACGUGACAGGAGGUCCAGAAGUGCAUGCACGUGAAGCAACUUCAGAUUUCAUGGCUGGUUCUUCUGGUGCACGUGCAGAUAGCUCAGGAGAGCCCCAAUCGCCAGAAAAUAGAAGCUUGGCAACUUCAGAUGAAUUUUCUUCGUCUUCGACAGAACAGGAGAGGAGGGAACAUCCGCCUACGCCAGUCCGUCUUCGACCAGUGUUAGAUUUAUAUCCGAAGAAAGCGCUUCAGAAGGUAAAUCCGGUGAAAAUUAAAAGAAAACGACGACAAUGUUUGAUAAGUGUCGAGGAACCGACGAAAUUUGAAGAUGCAAACAAAGAGGAGUACUGGCGUCGUGCUAUGGAUGAAGAGUUGGGAUCGAUACGAGACAACAAAGUAUGGGAGCUCGCGGAUCUUCCCAACGGCCAUAAAGCCAUAAGGCUCAAGUGGGUGUACAAAGUCAAGAAGGAUGCCGAAGGGAACUUGCUGAAGCAUAAAGCUCGGCUCGUAGCUAAAGGAUUCGUGCAAGAGCAAGGUGUGGACUUUGAGGAAGUGUUCGCUCCAGUCACAAGGAUGGAAUCGGUGAGGCUAGUUAUAGCUCUCGCGGCUCAAGAAUCUUGGAAGCUACAUCACAUGGAUGUAAAAUCUGCAUUUUUGAACGGGGAGUUGAAAGAAGAAGUUUACGUGAAGCAACCACCGGGGUACAUCAAGGAAGGAGAGGAACACAAGGUGUUGAAGCUACACAAGGCAUUGUACGGGCUACAUCAAGCUCCUCGGGCGUGGAACAUCAAGCUUGACCGUACAUUGAUUUCUCUUGGU